UACAGGGGGUGCAAACGUUGCUCGGAAUUAUUGGGCGUAAAGCGCGCGUAGGCGGCUACCUAAGUCGGAUGUGAAAGCCCCUGGCUUAACUGGGGAAGUGCACCCGAAACUGGGUAGCUAGAGUGCGAAAGAGGGUCGCGGAAUUCCCGGUGUAGAGGUGAAAUUCGUAGAUAUCGGGAGGAACACCGGUGGCGAAGGCGGCGACCUGGGUCGACACUGACGCUGAGGCGCGAAAGCGUGGGGAGCAAACAGG
rnacentral:rRNA from 1 species